rnacentral:rRNA from 1 species
AUUGAACGCUGGCGGCAGGCCUAACACAUGCAAGUCGAGCGGAGCGGCGGACGGGUGAGUAAUGCCUAGGAAUCUGACUGGUAGUGGGGGAUAAGGUCAGCAAACGGGAGCUAAUACCGCAUCCUAUCAGAUGAGACUAGGGCGGAUUAGCUAGUUGGUGGGGUAAAGGCAUACCAAGGCGCCGAUCCGUAACUGGUCUGAGAGGAUGAUCAGUCACACUGGAACUGAGACACGGUCCAGACUCCUACGGGAGGCAGCAGUGGGGAAUAUUGGACAAUGGGCGAAAGCCUGAUCCAGCCAUGCUGCGUGUGUGAAGAAGGUCUUCGGAUUGUAAAGCACUUUAAGUUGUGAGGCGUUACCAACAGAAUAAGCACCGGCUAACUUCGUGCCAGCAGCCGCGGUAAUUC